GUCUACUAACAAAGCACAUUUAAAUACGAGUGACUUUCUUCAUGUCACCACGUUCCAGAUUUGACUUCAAUCCACGAAGACCGCAGUGUAAAGGAGAAAGCCAGCAGCACUUCUGGGUCUUUGACGUCACUGGCUGGCUCGGUGACUGGGUUGCCAGAGAGCAGCCGCUCCUCACAAAAUACGGCACGCUGGGUUUGGAUGGUGCUUUUAGUCAUCAGCCUGAGCACCAACCUGCUGUUUGCUGCGCUCUGGAUGUCCGACAACUGGAGAGGAACACUGGACAACUUUCUACUCCUCUUCCCAUGGUCCAAAAGGUUUCAGUAACUUGCUUGGAAAAGGCUCUUGAUUAUCCCAAACCACGACUCAUGCUUUAGGAGAUGCGAUGAAAAUCGGCUUUUGCGUACAAGGGUUCGACCGCAAAUAAAUAUGGACAGCGGUGAUGUGACGUGCAAGAAUGUGCUUCGCUUGGCACUUCUCAUGUGUGUCAGCGAUGCAACGUUUUGGCACCAUUGCUCCCUUAUGGACCGUCACCUUCAGUGUGACCGGGUGCAAUGUCAUGGUGAGCACUUGUGCAAACAUCAGCUGCUCGGGUUUGUUUUGAAUGGAGACAGGUUAAAAAAAAAAAAAAGAAAGAAAAGAGGUUGGGGGUUGUUGUCAGGGGUGUGCAAAAGCAGUGCCCCUAAGGACUAGGAAAUGGAAUAUUGCGCUCCAGUUCGAGUCGGUCACCUCGCUUUAGUGCACUCAGAAUAGGUCAGGCCAGCCUCCAUUUGAAGUCGAGUCAGCAGCGGCCGCAUCAAAUGCUUGCGAGGGCCAAUGGCGAUUGCCGUCUUGCUAGCUGCCCUCGAGAACAAUGCAACCAGUUCAACAAAAAUUCAUUUUUCAAAACGCCCGAUUGUGUUGAAUUUCAAUGUAAUGUCUUUUUAUAAAACCUUCCAAGCGUUAAAUGUCGCUGUAGUUGAAAAAAAUAAAAGCUGAAAACGUUUUUAAAAAUUUAUAUUAAAAUGAGGUCGGCGGUGAACAAAAUGGAGCCCCAAACGACAACCUCUGGUGCUCAUUUGAGAACCAGACCAACAUUUUUAGAUGCAUCUGGUUAUAUUAUGCAUUUCAUUUACCCGUUGCAUCACAGUGUUCCCCUGCCUUUCUGCAAUUCGCUACUCGCGGAUUUACCGAUUUGGGGAUAUUUUUAUGGACUCUCUCAUCUGUUAUACACUGACAAAUUUCACUUCACUGUUUUUAUGCUUAGGACACAGCCCUGUCUAAUAUAAAAGAAGUGAAUUGCUUUUCAUACGCUCUUGUGACAUUUUGGUGCUAUGAAACUACGUUCAUGUGAGGGGGAGGAGUUUCAUUUAGACAGGGUUUACACUAUCUGUAUGUGAUUGGUCUGUGUUGCCCCUGUAAAGUGGCGAGUGUUGUCAGCACUUGUCAGCUGCAACUGAAGUUGAGUGCAAAAAAAAUGUCUGUUUUUGUUUUCAGUCAACGCUCGUUUUGGCUAGCCUGGAAAUCCAGACUCAAUCACUGCUUAUUGUCUCAUCCGACACAUUUUGAGGCGGGGCAAACAUGAGCAGACAGCGAAAUCAGCAAAGAGCGGGCAUGAAAAAAAAAGUUUUAAAUUAAUGCUUCCAGUGCCGUCGGCUGCUUAUUCGUUUCUGGUUAUUUAAAACCGAUUUUAAUGCCGAAUGAUAUUAACAAACUAUUGUCUCUCGCGGAAUGGACUUCCUCCGCGGAAGCGUGGCCUUGUUCACGAAAAAUACAUCACAGCAAAUAGACAAAAUUUAUUGCACAGUUUUGAACUGGGCCUGAGCCGCAGUGCAGGACUGGCUUUCCGGAAGAAAGUGACUUCGGCUUGCCAAGGCUAUACAUUUUGGCAGGAGUUGUCUGCCUCCAGAGUAAACGAAAGACUUAACGUUUGGAGUUUUCCGUUGUGAAUGUAUUUGCACGUGAUAACCGUAUUUUCCGCACGAUAAGGCGCGUCGGAUUAUCAGGCGCACCU